UUUUCGGACUCAGCCCGCUUGCACCUAGGUGAUUAAAAGCUUUAUUGCUCACACAAAGCCUGUUUGGUGGUCUCUUCACAGGGACGCGCAUGAAAUUCGGUGCCAUGACUCGGAUCGGGGGACCUACCUUGGGAGAUCAGCCCCCUGAUCUUCUACUCUUUGCUCCAUGAGAAAGGUCCACCUACGACCUCAAGUCCUCAGAUUGACCAGCCCAAGAAACAUCUCACCAAUUUCAAAUCCGGACCCCACUGAAAAUCAGACUGUUCAACUCACCUGGCAGCCACUCCCAGAGCCCGGGGAACUCUGGCCCAAGGCUCUCUGACUGACGCCUUCCCAGAUCUUCUCGGCUUAGCAGCUGGAGACUGACACUGCCUGAUCACCUCAGAAGCCUACAGGACCAUUACAGAUGCUCUAGGUAACUCUCACAGUGGAAGACUUAGCCCGCCUGCACCCAGGUGAAAUAAACAGCCAUGUUGCUCACACAAAGCCUGUUUGGUGGUCUCUUCACACGGAUGCGCAUGAAACUACCUACACCCAUACGGAAGGGAACAAAUCAUGAAAAGAAAUGGAAUGCUAGAGCAUAGUCAGUUUUGAGAAAAGGCUAACCAACAACAACAAAAAAUCAUAGGCAUGCUCAGAUUGCACAUGAACAGAAAAAUGUUGGAGAGAAACCAUUGAAAUAAUUCACCAGUCCUCUUGUGUUGCUGCUUAUCUGAUUAUCUGAGGUC
rnacentral:lncRNA from 1 species